rnacentral:rRNA from 1 species
UUAUUGGGCGUAAAGGGCUCGUAGGCGGUUUGGAAAGCCUGGUGUUAAAUACCCCGGCCUAACUGGGGAGGAGCGCUGGGAACUAUCAGACUAGAGUUCAGGAAGGGAAGCUGGAAUUCCAGGUGUAGGGGUGAAAUCUGUAGAUAUCUGGAAGAACACCGGUGGCGUAGGCGAGCUUCUGGCCAUGAACUGACGCUGAGGAGCGAAAGCGUGGGGAGCGAACAGGAUUAGAUACCCUGGUAGUCCACGCUGUAAACGAUGUGCACUAGGUGUAGGGACAUGGAGUUUCUGUGCCGUAGCUAACGCGUUAAGUGCACCGCCUGGGGAGUAUGCUCGCAAGGGUGAAACUCAAAGGAAUUGACGGGGCCCGCACAAGCGGUGGAGCAUGUGGUUUAAUUCGAUGAUACGCGAGGAACCUUACCAGGGUUUGACAUGUGCGUGGAUGUCUCAGAGAUGAGCAGCCUCUUUUGAGCGCCACACAGGUGCUUCAUGGCUGUCGUCA